GUGCCUUUAGCACUGGAUAGAGCAACAGCCUUCUAAGCCGUCGGUUAGAGGUUCGAAACCUCUAAGGCACG
rnacentral:tRNA from 2 species